rfam:Eubacterium biforme DSM 3989 Scfld7 genomic scaffold, whole genome shotgun sequence.
UGUUGAAAAAUGGGGAGCUGAGUGGCUGAGAGUAGGUUCGACCUUGACCCUGAAACCUGAUUUGGAUAAUGCCAACGUAGGGAUGAUAUCUUUAUUGUAU